GCUGUGAUGGCUGAGUGGUUAAGGCAUUGGACUUGAUGUCCAAUGGGGUUUCCCCGUGCAGGUUUGAGCCCUGCUCACAGCU